UUCGAUCAAAACGACAUAAUAGAAGCUAUAAAGAAACAUCACUUCCAUGGUCAGGUUGCCAUUAAACCUGAAUUCCAUUGCAGACCAAUAUCACAAUCAGGAUCAAAACCACCAAGUCCACUAUCAUCAGAGUUAUUAGAGAUAAGGCUGUGUGUAGAUCAUGAUGGAUUUAACUACUUUAACUGUACAAGUGGUGGAAAUUGUGGACAAAAAUUUGAAUGGUUUAUAUGAAUGAAUGAUACUAGUACGUACUACUAUGUCUUCUGUACUAAAUAACACAUAUGUCUGUCUAUGGCAGACAUCCUUAAUUUUAAAGGGAAUUUAUAAUUUAAAUAUAUGGUAUACUUCUGUCUGUGGAACAAACAAACUAUAUGGUAAUAAUAUAUGUUAUUCAUUUUGAUUAAUGUUACUUACUUCUGUCUAUGGCAUCCUUUUAUUUAUUUAUUUAUUUAUUUAUUUAUUUUAAAGGGAAUAUACGGUAAUAAUGAUGUAGGAUUUUGAUUGUGCAUGAGAGAGACUGAGUGAAAGUUUCAUACAUUUCAACCACAAGUUAAUUUCUUUUGUUAACUUCAUUAGUCACAUUAAUUAGUAUAGUGAAAACAAAAACUGUACUAAACAAAAAAUAAUAAACCAAAUGAAGUUUAUGAAAUCAAGAUACCGCAAGAAAAUGGAAAAUAUGAUAUGCUAUAGUUUUAAUCAUAAGCUGUCAAAAUUUGGCAAACCAGAAGCAUGCAUGCAUGAUUGAUCUGUACAUUGUCUGCCUUCAUUGAAACGUUCUCAACAUAUUUCUUGGAUUUAUCAUAUUUCUUGGGUCGCCUAUCCAAGUAUAACAAACAAAUAACAUUAUGUUUCUAACUAUGUGAAGUGAAAUUAUUUUUGUAUUUGUUUCAAUUUGUGUCUAGACUUCAUUUACCCCGACUGCAUUCAGACAUCACUUCAACUGUCAUUCUGUUUAUCAAUCUUCGGAUCAAAUGGACCUUUAGGGUUUCUGCCAUUAUGAAGGAAAAAUUGUGUUCAUAACACCUACUGCGGAAUAAAAUUGUGUUCCAAACUUAGAAACAAUUCUAUAGGUCCUGUUCUUACUGUUUACCAAUUAAAACCCUACACCUGGCUUAAUUUAUUCCACAUCAGAUUUUAAUUUCAACGAAAAUUACG
rnacentral:lncRNA from 1 species